AAUGUAGAUCACAGUAUUCGGUAUUUCUCAGUAGACUACGUGGUAAGGACGUGAGUAAUAGCAAGGUUGAUUUGUUCUCAUUUUCCAAUGUGUGACGUAUAAGUACCUAAUAAGUUUUGGUGGUCUACCUGUCUCGUUAUUUUAUUUAGUUUUUCUUAUACGCACAAGAGAGAUAGCGCACAAAGAUUGUGUAGGCAGUCUGCGCGGGCGUUCACGUCAUCGCUGAUACGUAAUUAGGAACGAAAUUUGUCUCGGACUGUAAUAUAAUUCCUAGUGUAAAUUGAUCUCGCCAUUCGUUACGACUGUGGGUAAUCAGUGAUUAUAGGAACUAACACUGGUUAGUCUGAGGCUAAGCGCUCGUUAGCCGUUGUGAACACCCAGGCUAGUUUUCCUCGCCGGCGCGGCGGUUAGUAAUAAUGCUUCAACACUGGAACUAACACGGAUUUAUUAUUUUCCAACUACUUGAAACGUGAAGGUGAAGCUUAUUGUACUGAAAAGUAUGGGCUGCAACAUCUCGUGCCGGCCUUGCUGCUGCUGCUGCAUCCCGUGCCUGUGCUGCGACUGCUGCGCGGAUCCACCUCCUCCCACCACCGUCAACGUGGUGCACCACCACGUGCCCGCGCCCGUCACCGUCGUGCACCAGCCGCCGCCACCCUACGCCAGAUAG